rnacentral:rRNA from 1 species
UACGAAGGGGGCUAGCGUUGCUCGGAAUCACUGGGCGUAAAGGGUGCGUAGGCGGGUCUUUAAGUCAGGGGUGAAAUCCUGGAGCUCAACUCCAGAACUGCCUUUGAUACUGAGGAUCUUGAGUUCGGGAGAGGUGAGUGGAACUGCGAGUGUAGAGGUGAAAUUCGUAGAUAUUGGGAAGAACACCGGUGGCGAAGGCGGCUCUCUGGACCGACACUGACGCUGAGGCGCGAAAGCGUGGGGAGCAAAUAGG